rnacentral:lncRNA from 1 species
AUUCUAUACAUUACUCAGUGCUCACCACAAUAAAUGUGGUCACCAUCUGUCACCAUACAAAGUUAUUAAACUAUUAUUGACUAUAUUUCUUAUGUUGUACUUUUCAUCUCCAUGGCUUAUUUUAUAAUGGGAAAUUUAUACUUGUCAAUCCCCUUUCUUUUCAGGAAUUUUUGUACGUGAGACACAGAAAUUUGGGUGAGUCUCUCUGCAUGUGUCUAUGGUUAUAAGAUGUAAAGUUCAGGAACUUCUUUUGCUAUGUGGAGAAAGAUAUUCUACAGAGAAAAAAGAAUGAGGCCAGUGUGCAAAGGGAAGUGAAGAUAAGCGAUGGAAAGGAGGCAUCUUCAUGGCAUUGAGUCCCUGGUUUCAGCUGUUCUGGUCCAAAUCGACACCAUUUAUAUGCUGAUGAGAAUGUGUCUGGUUGGAAGACUGCUGUACCACGUUUGAAAUUAUGCUAUUUGCUAACUUGCAGACUUCCUUUCCUUCCGUCUAAGGUAAGCCCCCUCCCUAAUGGCAAGGAUUUUUGUCUAUUUUGUUGCAUCCCCAGCAUCUACAGCAGCGUCUGGCGCACUGCAAACGGCUUAAUAAGAAUUCGUUGAAUGAACUGGAGAAUCAGGUCCAUCAUGGGAAUCAGGAUAAAAUCAUAUUAACUCUCUGGCCUUGAAUAUCUCUGGGCCAGCCAAAAUCUCCAACUUUCAAACACUAGGGGGCAGGCCGAGAUUAGAAUAGAAACAGUUUUUGCCCUUAGGUCAGUGGUUUCUGACUUCGCUUACGUAAGCAUCACCUCGGGGUGCCUUUAGACGUCCUGAAGGCCAGACCGGCCUCCUAACUGUAUAGGAAUCCCCAGAGGGUGGGGCUCAGGCAUCAGCAUUCUGGAAAGCAGCCCAGAAGAUUCCAACGCGCAGCCAGGGGCAAGAACCACAGACCGGGAGCCGAGGCCUGGAGGUCAAGAUUGCGCGGCCUUGGCGAAGCGGGAUCACAGAGACAGGUUCAGAGGGCCCGUCGCCUUCACGUCACACUCUGUCCGUGCCGCGUGGUGCCUU